rnacentral:rRNA from 1 species
CCUACGGGAGGCUGCAGUGGGGAAUAUUGGACAAUGGGCGAAAGCCUGAUCCAGCCAUGCCGCGUGUGUGAAGAAGGCCUUCGGGUGGUAAAGCACUUUCAGUGGGGAAGAAAGCCUUGGGGCUAAUACCCUCGAGGAAGGACAUCACCCACAGAAGAAGCACCGGCUAACUCCGUGCCAGCAGCCGCGGUAAUACGGAGGGUGCGAGCGUUAAUCGGAAUUACUGGGCGUAAAGCGCGCGUAGGCGGUCUGAUAAGCCGGUUGUGAAAGCCCCGGGCUCAACCUGGGAACGGCAUCCGGAACUGUCAGGCUAGAGUGCAGGAGAGGAAGGUAGAAUUCCCGGUGUAGCGGUGAAAUGCGUAGAGAUCGGGAGGAAUACCAGUGGCGAAGGCGGCCUUCUGGACUGACACUGACGCUGAGGUGCGAAAGCGUGGGUAGCAAACAGGAUUAGAUACCCUAGUAGUC